rnacentral:lncRNA from 1 species
AAGAGGGUCUACAAAAUGGGAAAAGGAUCCUCUUCGAAUUCAUUUUGUGGGGAUCCAGGGAUCCCCACACCCUAACUGUUUAUCGUACAUCGUGCAGUUAGUUUUCGUCAGAUACUAUUUGUGUUUAAUUUUAAAUAAAAAAUUUAAAUGAUAUUUUACUGCACGAUAUACGAUGAAUGACUAAGAUAUGGGGAUCCCUAGGAUCCACACAAAGUGGAUCCAGAUAUGAUUCAAUUCCUACAAAACGAACAUCCCAACUGCUUUUGCAUUUUGAAUGCUUAUUGAUAGUAACUUAAUUACUCACCUUUUUCAUAAGAGACGGUUU